ACCAGACUCCUACGGGAGGCAGCAGUGAGGAAUAUUGGUCAAUGGGCGGGAGCCUGAACCAGCCAAGUCGCGUGAGGGAAGACGGUCCUAUGGAUUGUAAACCUCUUUUGUCGGGGAGCAAAGAGGCCACGUGUGGUCAAAAGCGAGAGUACCCGAAGAAAAAGCAUCGGCUAACUCCGCGCCAGCAGCCGCGGUAAUACGGAGGAUGCGAGCGUUAUCCGGAUUUAUUGGGUUUAAAGGGUGCGCAGGCGGAAGAUCAAGUCGGGGGUAAAAUUGAGAGGCUCAACCUCUUCGAGCCGUUGAAACUGGUUUUCUUGAGUGAGUGAGAAGUAUGCGGAAUGCGUGGUGUAGCGGUGAAAUGCAUAGAUAUCACGCAGAACUCCGAUUGCGAAGGCAGCAUACCGGCGCUCAACUGACGCUCAUGCACGAAAGUGUGGGUAUCGAACAGGAUUAGAUACCCUAGUAUCC
rnacentral:rRNA from 1 species